ACUAGAUAACCAACUCUAUAUAUAGUGUAAAUGAGUAAGCCCGGAGCUUAUACGGCGACCGUCACGUUAUACCGAGAGUACCAAUAAAUAAAUUAACAGUAGAUCCUUAACGAUUUUCGUUUGUGCCACGGAUAUUACGCGAUACUCUGAUGAGUACUAAAAAUGAUGGGCAAAUCGUUUCCAUCGCGUCGUAACACAAUAAUUUUCAUGGCGCAAA